AGGAGGAGAUCUGUAACUAAUGGGAGUUUCCAUUCCUGAGGAGAUUCUACAGCUCUUCCAGCAUUCCCUUGCACUCGUCCCAGGUGUCAGAGAGAUGCUGCUGCAGCAGGAGCUGGCGGUGCACAGAAGAUGGUGCAGGAAGAUGUUGGCUCUUUGCAAGGGCCCAGCUGCAUCACCACCAGGUUGCAUUGCCUCCACAGAAACUGCACUGUGCGUGCCGGACGGCUUGGGUGGUUCGGGGAGCAGGCUCCAUAAUUGCAGCGACUGCUGA
rnacentral:lncRNA from 1 species